rnacentral:rRNA from 1 species
AGGCCCCUUCGGGGGUACACGAGUGGCGAACGGGUGAGUAACACGUGAGCAACCUGCCCUUGACUCCGGGAUAACAGUUGGAAACAGCUGCUAAUACCGGAUAUGACCUUCGAUGACAUCAUCUGGAGGUGGAAAGCGCUUUAGCGGUCAAGGAUGGGCUCGCGGCCUAUCAGCUUGUUGGUGAGGUAACGGCUCACCAAGGCUUCGACGGGUAGCCGGCCUGAGAGGGCGACCGGCCACACUGGGACUGAGAUACGGCCCAGACUCCUACGGGAGGCAGCAGUGGGGAAUAUUGCACAAUGGGCGCAAGCCUGAUGCAGCAACGCCGCGUGCGGGAUGACGGCCUUCGGG